UACGUAGGGGGCAACCGUUGUCCGGAUUUACUGGGUGUAAAGGGUGCUCAGGCGGUCUUGUAAGUUAGAAGUGAAAUCCUAGGGCUCAACUCUGGAACUGCUUUUAAUACUGCAAGGCUUGAAUAUGGAAGGGGAGGGUGGAAUUUCUGGUGUAGCAGUGAAAUGCGUAGAUAUCAGAAAGAACACCAGUGGCGAAGGCGGCCCUCUGGUCCAUUAUUGACGCUAAAGCACGAAAGCGUGGGGAGCAAACAGG
rnacentral:rRNA from 1 species